CCUACGGUGCAGCAGUGAGGAAUAUUGGUCAAUGGACGAGAGUCUGAACCAGCCAAGUAGCGUGAAGGAUGACUGCCCUAUGGGUUGUAAACUUCUUUUAUAUGGGAAUAAAACGUUCCACGUGUGGGAUUUUGUAUGUACCAUAUGAAUAAGGAUCGGCUAACUCCGUGCCAGCAGCCGCGGUAAUACGGAGGAUCCGAGCGUUAUCCGGAUUUAUUGGGUUUAAAGGGAGCGUAGGUGGAUUGUUAAGUCAGUUGUGAAAGUUUGCGGCUCAACCGUAAAAUUGCAGUUGAAACUGGCAGUCGUGAGUACAGUAGAGGUGGGCGGAAUUCGUGGUGUAGCGGUGAAAUGCUUAGAUAUCACGAAGAACUCCGAUUGCGAAGGCAGCCUACUAAACUGCCACUGACAUUGAUGCUCGAAAGUGUGGGUAUCAAACAGGAUUAGAUACCCGAGUAGUC
rnacentral:rRNA from 1 species